UUUCAACUCAAGAAGGUCGUUGCCGAUUUAUCAUUGGGUUUUACCAUCACGCGACUAUCGAUUUUGAUUCUCUCAUUGCUAGUCGUUCGGCUUUUCGAUUACACCAUUCAAGCUCUCGCUGGUCCAUGAGACAAAAACGAUUGGCAACAUUGUUGUCGCCAUCGUCAGCGUCGUUGCUGUUGUCGUCAUGCUAUAGUUGACUGCGCAGCUAUCGAUUGAGCGCAACUGUAUUUUGGUUUUUUACCGUUAGCUCAUGCCGCAUUCGAUUUUAUUAACGUUUUUACAUUCGUGGAGUACGCGCGCGAACCGCUCUUCAGCUAAACGGUAAAUAAAAAUGUGGUGUAAAUAAAUAUAUAUAGAAAUAUAUGUUUACAAGUGUGCGAAGGAUUAUUUGUGCUGCUGGGGAUAAAUAAGGAUUAACAGAUUUUAAUAAAAGUGUAUAUGAAUAUUGCAAAGUGUGCGAAGAAAGUUGAGUUGGGAAAAGUGUUGCAGAAACGAUUGAAACGCGUUGUGCCGCAGAUUUAUCACAGUGCUUAUAGUAUAAUUGCGGAUAUCGUUUGGAAUAACAAGCUGUGCAUUAUAUACUUUUACAUACUUUUACUGCGAUUACCUCAAGCUGUUUUCUAAAUAUAGCCAAUUCGCCUCCCCGUUUUGUGUAUGCAGCUAAUAACAUGAAGUUGCACAGUCGAACUCGACAGC